rnacentral:lncRNA from 1 species
GGGGUCAGUUGUGAUGCCAAGUCCUUCACAAGAGUAGGGUCUUGGCAGAACAUUUCAGAAGUGACAGGAAGAACCAAGAAAUGCUUCUAUUUCUCAAUUCUGGGAUUUGCACUAUGAGUAAGAUGAUGGCAAAAAGCAAAGCCAAACAAAAAUGCAACAGAGGGCUUAAUAGCCUGGAGGGAAGCAUGAAAAUCCAGCAAUCAAUAGAGCGGUCACCCCCGCUGGUGGAAAGACAGACAAAAGCCCGGGAAAGCACUGAGAAGAGAUACCAGGGAGAGCUGAACUUCAGCUUCAUUUGUGCUUACACAACGCUUACUAUCUUGGAUAGAUCCAAAACGCAAAUGGAAAGGGGAAUUUCAUCUUCCCUCACCACGCAUGAAAGCAGACACCUCUUUAAAUACAAAAUUGCUUUGGAGUCCUGCUUGCUGGCUGCAGAUGCUGAUUAAGUCUCUAUGGAAACGUUUUUGUUUCAAGCAUAAGAAAAUCUGCGUAUAGUAACUAAUGAACUCUCCCAUGUGGGCAGCUCAAGAUCCCUGUUAUGCUCAGUCUGCAGACCGCCCCGCCCCAG